GAAGUCUCCAACAACUUCUAUAGCUACAAGAUGGAGGAGAGCAGUUCUAUCAAUGAACACAUACUCAAAAUGUCUGGGUAUUAUAAUCACUUGACUCAGCUGGGAGUUAAUCUUCCAGUUGAUUGUGUUAUUGAUAGAGUUCUUCAAUCACUGCCACCAAGCUACAAAGACUUCAUGAUGAACUACAAUAUGGAAGGGAUGAACAAAAAAAUUCCCGAGGUCUUCGCAAUGCUUAAGGCCGCGGAGGUAGAAAUCAAGAAGGAGCAUCAAGUGUUGAUGAUUAACAAGACCACUAGUUUCAAGAAAAAGGGAAAAGGGAAGAAAGGGAAGUUCAAAAAGAACAUCAAACAAGUUGCCACUCCCGGGAAGAAACCCAAAGCUGGACCUAAGCCUGAAACUGAGUGCUUCUACUGCAAAGGGAGUGGUCACUGGAAGCGGAACUGCCCCAAGUAUUUGGCGGAUAAGAAGGAUGGCAAAGUGAACAAA
rnacentral:rRNA from 1 species